CAGCAGCCGCGGGAAUACGUAGGUCCCGAGCGUUGUCCGGAUUUAUUGGGCGUAAAGCGAGCGCAGGCGGUUAGAUAAGUCUGAAGUUAAGGGCUGUGGCUUAACCAUAGUACGCUUUGGAAACUGUUUAACUUGAGUGCAAGAGGGGAGAGUGGAAUUCCAUGUGUAGCGGUGAAAUGCGUAGAUAUUGGGAGGAACACCGGCGGCGAAGGCGGCUUACUGGACGACAACUGACGUUGAGGCUCGAAGGCGUGGGUAGCAAACAGGAUUAGAUACCCCAGUAGUCCCUGUCUCUUAUACA
rnacentral:rRNA from 1 species